rnacentral:rRNA from 1 species
UGACUCCUACGGGGGGCAGCAGUGGGGAAUAUUGCACAAUGGGGGGAACCCUGAUGCAGCGACGCCGCGUGGGUGAAGGAGUACUUCGGUACGUAAAGCCCUAUCAGCAGGAAAGAAGAUGACGGUACCUGACUAAGAAGCCCCGGCUAACUACGUGCCAGCAGCCGCGGUAAUACGUAGGGGGCAAGCGUUAUCCGGAUUUACUGGGUGUAAAGGGAGCGUAGACGCAAGGCAAAGCCGG